UAGGGAAUCUUCCGCAAUGGGCGAAAGCUUGACGGAGCAACGCCGCGUGGGUGAUGAAGGUCUUCGGAUCGUAAAACUCUGUUAUUCGGGAAGAACAACUGUGUAAGUAACUAUGCACGUCUUGACGGUACCUAAUCAGAAAGCCACGGCUAACUACGUGCCAGCAGCCGCGGUAAUACGUAGGUGGCAAGCGAUAUCCGGAAUUAUUGGGCGUAAAGCGCGCGUAGGCGGUUGUUUAAGUCUGAUGUGAAAGCCCACGGCUCAACCGUGGAGGGUCAUUGGAAACUGGAAAGCUUGAGUGCGGAAGAGGAAAGUGGAAUUCCAGGUGUAGCGGUGAAAUGCGCAGAGAUAUGGAGGAACACCAGUGGCGAAGGCGACUUUCUGGUCUGUAACUGACGCUGAUGUGCGAAAGCGUGGGGAUCAAACAGG
rnacentral:rRNA from 1 species